CAGGGAGACAAACAAUGAUUUUGAUGUCUGAGUUUUUUUAUUCUUAGGCCAAAAUCCUGUCACCUUAGGUCGAUCGGUACCUCAACUUUGAAGCUAAGAGAAUCCAGCAAUGGAUUUCUGCUUAGUGGAGAAUUUUAGUUCCUAAACUUUGUCUAGUUCACAACCCAUUAGGGAUGAGACUCCUGGGCCAUUAGCUCAGGUGGUUAGAGCGCACCCCUGAUAAGGGUGAGGUCCCUGGUUCAAGUCCAGGAUGGCCCAUUCGGUGUAGGGGGUUUAGCUCAGUUGGUAUAGCGCCUGCUUUGCAAGCAGGAUGUCAGGAGUUCUAGUCUCCUAACCUCCACUGACGACCAAGAUUCCCCAUCUCCAAAGCCUGGGAGUAGGAACUCGUGUGGGAUGGGUAUUUGAAAUGGGUCGGCUGGAUGACCCUAACAUCUUGUCAUUUUAAGGCGUGGGAAAUAUUCCGGAGAGGUUUGUUUGAUAGGAU
rnacentral:tRNA from 1 species